UCCGGUUUGACACCGGCAGUCCCCCUAGAGUCCCCGCCAUGACGCGCUGGUAACUAGGGGCAAAGGUUUCGCUCGUUAAGGGACUUAACCCGACAUCUCACGACACGAGCUGACGACAGCCAUGCACCUCCUGUGCACUGGCCCCGAAGGGCUGCCGUAUUUCUACGGCAUUCCAGUGCAUGUCAAGCCUUGGUAAGGUUCUUCGCGUUGCGUCGAAUUAAACCACAUGCUCCACCGCUUGUGCGGGCCCCCGUCAAUUCCUUUGAGUUUCAGCCUUGCGGCCGUACUCCCCAGGCGGGGCACUUAACGCGUUAGCUGCGACACGGAAGGGGUCGAUCCCACCCGCGUCUAGUGCCCAUCGUUUACGGCGUGGACUAC
rnacentral:misc_RNA from 1 species